rnacentral:rRNA from 1 species
UAAUGACUGGCGGCAGGCUUACACAUGCAAGUCCAACGGUAGCAGGAGAAAGCUUGCUUUCUUGCUGACGAGUGGCGGACGGGUGAGUAAUGCUUGGGAAUCUGGCUUAUGGAGGGGGAUAACUACUGGAAACGGUAGCUAAUACCGCGUAAUAUCGGAAGAUUAAAGGGUGGGACUUUCGGGCCACCUGCCAUAAGAUGAGCCCAAGUGGGAUUAGGUAGUUGGUGGGGUAAAGGCCUACCAAGCCUGCGAUCUCUAGCUGGUCUGAGAGGAUGGCCAGCCACACUGGAACUGAGACACGGUCCAGACUCCUACGGGAGGCAGCAGUGGGGAAUAUUGCACAAUGGGGGGAACCCUGAUGCAGCCAUGCCGCGUGAAUGAAGAAGGCCUUCGGGUUGUAAAGUUCUUUCGGUGAUGAGGAAGGUGUUUUGUUUAAUAGACAAAGCAAUUGACGUUAGUCACAGAAGAAGCAGCGGCUAACUCCGUGCCAGCAGCCGCGGUAAU